rnacentral:sRNA from 1 species
ACAAAUAAGAUCUUCCCCGUUUGGACAUACUCCUACCUAGUGCUGCUGCUGCCUGUGUUUGUCCUCACCGAUUACGUCUGCUGCAAGCCAGUCAUCAUCUUGCAAGGUAUCAGUUUCAUCAUUACCCGGCUGCUGCUGUUGUUUGGCCAAGGAGUGAAGACCAUGCAGGUUGUAGAGUUCUUCUAUGGGAUAGUCACCGCCGCCGAGGUGGCCUACUACGCCUACAUAUACAGCGUGGUCAGCCCCGAGCACUACCAGAGAGUGAGCGGCUACUGCAGGAGCGUCACGCUGGCCGCCUACACAGCAGGGUCCGUGGUAGCCCAACUCUUGGUAUCCCUGGCGAACCUGUCGUACUUUUACCUCCACGUCAUACCCUUGGCCUCUGUCUCCGUGGCCUUCCUUUUCUCACCUUUUCUACCAAUGCCCAAGAAGAGCAUGUUUUUUUCAUGCAAAACCCAAAAAAGAAACUCCUCAAAAGCCACCGGGAGAGGACGCCAUCUUAGAGGAAUAUCACAAGGAUCACAAAGCAGUUCACUCGGAAUUAUUCACUGUUUCAGGGGACCUGGAUGCCAGCAGUGGGGCACCCCAAAGCCAAGCAAUGUGGCUUUGAGAGAUUUUGUGCAGUGGUCCCGGGAUUUGCAGGAGUGCUACUCCUCGAAGCAUCUCUUUUACUGACCCCUGUGGUGGGCUUUUUCCAUAACAGGUUUUAACCAGAUGUUAAACUAUGUUCAAAUCCUGUGGGAUUACAAGGCACCAUCUCAAAAUAUAUAAUGGAGCAGUAGAAGCCCUUGAAACCUUUGGGGAGCCAUGGCAGCCUUCACAGUGGCGACAUCAAAGUCAUCUGGGAUCUUCUGGGUGAGUUGCCCUCGGUGAUCUUCUCAGGUGCAGAUGGAGGUUCUCUAUGUCCCAUGCAUUUCACAACUAAUAUUUGGGUGUGCUCUGCUGGUCUCUUGAUAUUCAAGUCAAGUUUUAUGCUCUUUAUAACCAUAGCUGUAUUUCAGAUUGGAGUUAAUCUGAGCAUGCCCUGGCGUUUGGAAUUAAUCCCUUCAUUGCCUUGAUGAGUCAACCCAUCGUGACUAUGACUGUGGUUGACAACCAAGGACUGGGGCUUCCUGUUGACAUUCAG